rnacentral:rRNA from 1 species
CAUUCAAUAAGCGGAGGAAAAGAAACUAACAAGGAUUCCCCUAGUAACUGCGAGUGAAGCGGGAAGAGCUCAAAUUUAAAAUCUGGUAGUCUUUGGCUGCCCGAGUUGUAAUCUAGAGAAGCGUUAUCCGCGCUGGACCGUGUACAAGUCUCCUGGAAUGGAGCGUCAUAGAGGGUGAGAAUCCCGUCUUUGACACGGACUACCAGGGCUUUGUGAUACGCUCUCGAAGAGUCGAGUUGUUUGGGAAUGCAGCUCUAAAUGGGUGGUAAAUUCCAUCUAAAGCUAAAUAUUGGCGAGAGACCGAUAGCGAACAAGUACCGUGAGGGAAAGAUGAAAAGAACUUUGGAAAGAGAGUUAAACAGUACGUGAAAUUGUUGAAAGGGAAACGCUUGAAGUCAGUCACGUUGGCUAGGAAUCAGCCUUGCUUUUGCUUGGUGUAUUUCCUGGUUUUAACGGGUCAGCAUCAAUUUCGACCGAUGGAAAAAGGUCAGGGGAAUGUGGCAUCUUAGGAUGUGUUAUAGCCCUUGGUCGUAUACAUCGGUUGGGAUUGAGGAACUCAGCACGCCGCAAGGUCGGGUUAUCUAACCACGUUCGUGCUUAGGAUGCUGGCAUAAUGGCUUUAAUCGACCCGUCUUGAAACACGGACCAAGGAGUCUAACAUGCCUGCGAGUGUUUGGGUGGAAAACCCGAGCGCGUAAUGAAAGUGAAAGUUGAGAUCCCUGUCGUGGGGAGCAUCGACGCCCGGACCAGACCUUCUGUGACGGAUCCGCGGUAGAGCAUGUAUGUUGGGACCCGAAAGAUGGUGAACUAUGCCUGAAUAGGGUGAAGCCAGAGGAAACUCUGGUGGAGGCUCGUAGCGAUUCUGACGUGCAAAUCGAUCGUCAAAUUUGGGUAUAGGGGCGAAAGACUAAUCGAACCAUCUAGUAGCUGGUUCCUGCA